UUAUCACUCUCUCUCUCUAACCUCAGGAGAACGUGGCAUCGUUCAACAGACUGAGAUGAUGACAGGGACGAUGACAGGGGAAAGAAGAGCCCAGCGUCCACACGCUUCACUGUCCCCAGGAGGUGACAGAGACAGCCCGAGAUAAGGGGGAAUCCAGGGGAGAUCCAGGUUCAUCAGGAUCACUGCCAUUUGGUACUAAACACCAAGCUGACGAUCACACACUUGGGGAAAUACAGCUCCAUCUCAGGUUCUGCUGUGGUGCAGUGGUUGCACAGCCUUUCCUCUACAGGGAGCCAGGUUUUCCUGUAUCUACCCUUCUCAAUGGCAAGGCUGUGCUCACUGAGCCUGUACUUUGUCAAGGAGGCAGAGAGCGGCCAGGACAAGACUGGGACUGAGGCUGGGACUGAGGCGGGGACUGAGGCUGGGACUGAGGCUGGGACUGAGGCUAGGACUGAGGCUGGGACUGAGGCUGGGACUGAGGCUGGGACUGAGGCCAGGACAAGACUGGGACUGAGGCUAGGACUGAGGCUGGGACUGAGGCUGGGACUGAAGCUAGGACUGAGGCUAGGACUGAGGCUGGGACUGAGGCUAGGACUGAGGCUGGGACUGAGGCUGGGACUGAGGCUAGGACUGAGGCUGGGACUGAGGCUGGGACUGAGGCUGGGACUGAGGCUGGGACUGGGACUGAGGCGGGGACUGAGGCUGGGACUGAGGCUGGGACUGAGGCUGGG